CUCCAGGACAACCGUGGCUUUCGAUUGUUACUGUGGGAACCGGAGGUAACAGUCUACAGCCAUGGUCGCCCCGCAGCA
rfam:Heterocephalus glaber contig111027, whole genome shotgun sequence.